AACAUAAUGGUUUUCAUUACGUUAUAUCUCGAUGCAUCGUGAUCCUUGCUUAAGUACAUUGUAUGGCCUUUUUUUUUCGCCGCAUGAAUAACGUUGACACACUCCAAUGUGAUACAUCGUGAUAACAAUAAUAAUUGGAAUUAACGAGGUACGAGGGUCGCAUUACAUCCGCAGUGCUAAUGGAAUAAUUACCAAUGUCUAUUCACCAUGUCAAUAUGCAUAAUGCUGGGUUAAAAAUUAUGCAAUUUUCAAAUCAUGUCUUAAUAUACCAAUUGGUGGGUGAAUUAUUAAUUUGUUGUAGCACCCAGAAGCAGAGUAAUAUCGUGGCCUUGAAUUCCACGAGAUAUUGGAAAUAGUCGCCCUCAAUCAGUAUAAAUGAAGGAGUUAAUUGAGUCAUGUGAUAUUUCCAUAGCACGCGAGAUAUUUCAAAGGGAGCGAUAGAAGAUUUGAAACAUACACAUUGAUAAUUCACACCAAUGGUCAUUCUUGUUUCGUACCACCAACCACUCGACCUUCAAUGACUGGUGGAUUUGAACACAAUUGGCCAUUAGAUGUAAUAACGAAUCGGAGUCAUUCAUCCAUUUCGCUACUACCGCACUUCUGAACGCCAUCGUUUUAUAUAAAUCACAACGAUCUCCUUGUUGUAACUGUUUUCCACCAAUUCGCCUUUCAGCGUUACUUCCUAAACAUUUGAAAUUUUAAUCUUGAUAGAACAGAUGAACACUGUUGUAUCUUUUAGCAUCAGGGACAAACUUAUACUUGUUAAUACUCAGUCUGUGUAACCGUUGAAUUUCAAGUUAUUUUCCUGGAAUUUAAACAGUUGCACCCACUGGUUUAAUGUACUUUGAUCUGAAUUCCAAGAUGAUGAGUGAAGGUGAUUGUGUAAUGUCAGAUCUUUCAUGCUUACCUACACUUGAGAUUUGUUGGAUUUCUUGAGAACUGGCUGGGGUAGCUUUUCAGUUUCCGGGCAUCGGGGCGAUGCGCCAGAUGUCUAAAGGGGACCAAGGUCGUCUACACACGGAAUUGUCUCUCAUUCCCAUAAUAAUGUCACGAAUGCUCUCAUUUUGCUUGAUUUUUUUUAACAACAAUUUUGUUUUUCUCGGCCCUCUUUGAGUGGACUCUGCAGUCGAGCCGAAUUUUGCAUAAAUGUUGAGUACAGCUAGACUGCGUGUCUCGACAUUAAUGAGCUGUGACGGACUACCCUUUGUGAAGUAUUUUGCGAUUUAGAUGGCAAGAGGGGCAGACAUUAUUUCAGGCAUAUUGUGGGUAGCUUUGAUACUUGGACUUUUAGAGCUAUCGAAAAUUAUUUUAAUAUAAAAUUCGAAUCUAAAUUUAAGGACAUGAGGCGGAGAUGAUGUCGAGGAAAUAGAUUAUUUCUUGACAGCUACAAAUGUUUAGCUAGAGAAAUGAGGGAGAUUUCAAUGUAUAAUUUUGAUUUUGCUCGUUUCAAUCAGGCAAUUCAACAAUCUUUUUGUCGGAAGCUUUAUCUUUCCUCUUCAGUCAGUAAUUAAUUCGUUUAGUUUUAUUCGUGUAUGUCGUGUCAUCCAGGAAUUUCUGAGAACGUUAAGUGGGAAGUGAUCCAUUAUAACCUUCCCUAGAGUUCUCCACGUACACUUAACUAUUGAUUGUUUUGUCUGUUUUUCCCCGAAGUCAUGUCAGCUUGUAAAGAACUGGGAAUAAUGUUUGCUUUUGUCAAAAGUCUGCAAUGUUCUCCCGUCUUGAUUUGUCGCUGGGGGUUAAAAAUAACUCGUGAUGAAUAUUCUGAAUCUGUAGCUUUCCAAAAUAUUUACUAUUGAAUCUCGUCAAGAGGAAGAAGUUCCUAUUCAGUGUUUCGUAAAUUUGAUUAUAAUCACCAAAAUCGGCCAGAAAUAGCGAGAAAAUUAAGUCAGUUAGGGAUUUACUAGUCGGUUAAUCAAAUGAUUGUCUUACUAUAGAUUUUUCACGUCAAAUGGAAUUCUUCAGUGGAUUUCAACCCAAAAUUGAGAAUAAUAGGAUUAUAAGGGCUUCAUCUGGGCUCUAAAAGUUCUGUAUCGAUCACUUUGGCAAUAUAAUUCGCAUAAAUAGAUGAAGAGAGCCAUGACGAAAAAUGUCAAAAGGCUUUUGAAGCUUGUCAAUUUUCCUCUAAACAUUUCCAAAGAAGUUACUUCAUUUCAAUGUAACCGCGGUAUUUCUUCUUCGGAUUAAAUUGAAACAAAUAGGAAUUAAUAGAGUCAAUAAUCAUGAGAAUUCCCUGCCUCAUGCUCUCAGCUAUAUCAAUUAAAAUCAAUCAGAGGGUGUUGAACAUUAUAACACUGAUUAGUGUAUCUGAAUUAACUUCCUCCAGAAGAGCUCAGUUACUCAUUUACUGCCUUUCUCAAGGGUCGCAUGCAUUUGCGAUGACUAAGAUCCCUAAGCGUCAUUAAUCAUCUGCGCCAGAAUGUGCUUAUUAACGCUCCAGUGUUAUUUUUCGAGAAAUGCAGGGCAAAUUCUUUCAUUGAGAUCAUGUUAGCUGAAUACUGAAGGUGUCCAUGGCUGUAACAGUGACAUUCAGAGGUGACAAUUGCAAUCAAUGGCUCAAGCUUGUUGGGUAAAAAUCAAUGCAAGACAAGGCUGUCUUUGAAUAAUUUAGCUUCCUUAGUAGUGUCGGUUAGAUUACACCCUUUUUCACACGAUUAUUUCCCAAUAUGAAUUUUUCAUGGUACUGGAGAGUGUUAAUACCCAAGUUGGUACUCUGCAAUUACAGGAAUACCAUUUUUUUCGCUACUUUGCAACGUAUGAUAAUUGACCAAUAAUGUUUCUAAUUAUCUAUUCGUGAACCCUAGCCUUUCUUAUCUCAGUAGAGCCAUCGAAAUGAUCUCAUUGACGACGGUAUGACUAUUUAUCAACUAUAUCAUGUACGGGAUCAUCAGAUUCGCGAGGGAGGGGGCGCUAUUUAUUUAAACACAAUUGUGAAAGAUUUUUUGAGGUAGAUGACGUUCGUUUGAUCCGUGUGGUAGUGGGCAAUGGACUCGGGAGAAUAAUCCUCGUUAUGCAAUGCUUAGCGAACCUAACAUUAGGUAGGUGCCACAAGGAGAGUUGCCAGAAAUUAUAAAUACCGGAAUUUCGCGUGGCACUGAACGUGUUUGGAGCUCAAUAUUCUUUUAGUAAAAUUCAGGGAAGUGGAACGUGACACUGAUGAAUUUUCUGUUAAUUCAUUUGGGCAUUUUGUGAGAAUAGAAGAUUUUAUUGUUAAGCCUACAAAGUUCGCAAAAGAUUUUAUGAUUCUAUUUGUACGGAAGUACUUUGUGGACUGGGUGAUGUAAACUAGUUUAUGAUGUGGACCUCAAAACAGCCUUUCAUGGGGCCUAGAAACAAAUUUUUUAUGGUGUUCUGACAGUUUUAUGGACCGUCAUAAUAAUUGAAGUCAUUUUCAGUGGGCCAAAGAAGCGGCUGAGGCUGAAAGACUUGAGAAAUCUCGAUCGCUUGACAACGAUGAGAAUAACAGCGGUUCCGAUGAUUUAGCACUGGCUAUUCAAAAUCGUAAUAAGGCAA